CUUAUUCUAUAAAAGGGACUCCCUCACUUUCAUUAGAAAGCACCCAUUCUUCAUAUACUGAGGAACGAGCCCUUAUUUUAUAAAAAGGAUUCCCUCACCAUCAUUAGAGAGCAUCGUCGCCCGCUGAGCAACCGCUUCCCCGCGAGCAUCAACUCUAGCCCAUCACUUAUGUAUUGAGGAGUGAGCCCUUAUUUUCUAUAAAAUAGACUCCCUCAGCAUCAUUACAGAGCAUCGUCGCUUGCUGAGCAACCGCCUCACCGCGAGCAUCAACUCUAGCCCAUCAUUCAUGUAUUAAGGAGCAAGCCCUUAUUCUAUAAAAGGGACUCCCUCACCUUCAAACGCCACAAGCCGAGCCAACCAAGGCAACAUAAGCCACAAGCAGAGCAACCUCGCAACAUGUGCUACUUCUAGUUGAGCAUCAUUUCAGAUUGGGCAUUGCCUCAUAUCGAGUAUCAGUUCUAGACGACAUCUAGUUACUUCGGCCCACACAUGGACUGAAUUUUAAGUCUCCAGCCAAAAGACUAUCUUGACUGAAGACUUGGGGGACUACUAUUUGUACCAUACUUAGGGCCUCCGUAUUUAGAUCUUGUAUAAAUACUCAGGGGGUGCUCAAAUGUAAUUAUGUAAUAAAUGAAGGGGAAAAUAUGUAAACAGGGGAGCCCUUAGUCUAUAAAAGGGCCUCCUCACCCUCACAAUCCUCAAGCCUCACUCUUACAUUUACAAAGCUCUCAUCCUCACAUACAGAGGCUCUCACCCUCACAAACCUUUCACAAACAGAGAAAUACAAUAUCAGUAUGGACGUAGUAGCCUAAACAUUGGCGUGAACCAUGAUACAUCUUGUGUUCCUUACUUUCUUGUAGAUUCACAUCCGGAUUUACGUUGUUCCAAGACCUCCAGUUUUGUGCAUCAACAAGUGUAAUUUACAAUACGCAAAGUAGAUCCACAUGUAUGUGAAUGAUUCAAGAUGCUAGAUAAUUGAAUUUUUUACAAUGUGAAGUCAAAGUACAUAGGUGGGUAUACAUGUAAUGACAUAUGAAAAAUAUUUUUUAGAAGAUAUAGUCCAAUGCAUAUAAUGUGAUGCUCUAUCGAAUAAGGGAAAGAACAAUGUCUAAAUUGAAAAGAGUAAAUUGCAAGA
rnacentral:lncRNA from 1 species